AUUCUUAUAGUUAAAACAUAACAAUAGCUUUUCAUGCUAUAAGUUCGGACUGACACUUCCGAUAAGAAUU
rnacentral:tRNA from 1 species